UUUUGCCUGAGUUUUGAUUAGUUUGUUGUUUUAUUUUCGUUUAAUUUUUGUAUUUAAUGAUCACGACCUCCAGCAAAUAAGAAACUGGUUCAUCAUAGGAAGUCCCGCUGGAAACAUUCAGAUUCAGACCGGAUGCAGUCAGUAGUUGUGGAUGCAAUGCAUCCCACUACUUCAUCGACAAUGUUAUGAGCAACCCUUUCCCGAUGGAUUACUCGGCGACACUACUUUGAAAAUGUGUGUGUGUUACAAUAAGAUCACUUUCUCCAAGACGAUUUUUCUGCCAUGACACCAGCGGCCCCUUUUCAAGUUGUCAUGUACAGUUUAGCACUUUCGCUGCACAUCUGUUGUGUGAUUUUCUUCUUGAUCAAUCAACUUGCUUCCCAUACAAUAUUAAACAUUGACCAUUGAAAUGGUAAAAUGACAUGGUCAAUCGGGUCUAAUCAGGCCCAGCCCAGCCCAAUCAAGGUCAAUCAGGGCCGGGCUGGGUUGGCAUGAGCCUGGCAUAGGCUGAGAUAUCCCAGCCUGUGCUGAGAUUAGGGGUCCUAAGGUUUGGCUGGGGUUUUAAAAAGCCCAUAGUAACCCAGCCUUGUUACACCCCUAAAUGCAGGAUUCGGGAUGCUACUCAAAGAAAUUGCAAAGGGUUGGUGUGUGGAAGUACUCAGUUCUUAGACUUAAGGGUCCAGCAGCCAAUAUCCUUGUAGAAAAGUCUCAUGAUGGAGAUACAUGCCACUCCGUUUCAAUGUCCUUCUUACAAAAGUAAUAGUAUGAGUCCACUAGUGAAAAGUAUAUCUAGUUGCUCAUAACGGACAAAAAUCUUCCAAAACUUUUCAUAGGAGCAUACAAAAUUUAGGAUGAAUUCUCAAAUGCCUGACAGCUUCUUAACUUCCUAUUAGAACUACUCCUAUCUAAUUCAAAAGAACUUUGAAUCAACCAUUUAACAACAAUUUUGGAAUUAGAAGUCCCAGUUUUACAGUAAAUACAAAACCAAAAAUCCUCAAAAGGUGACAAUCUUAAUGGAAUAUGUAUAACAUUAUUAGCUACUUCACUUAGGAAAAGAGAAUUCAACAGACUAGCAUUCCAAGACCCAUUAUAAAUAAGUUCAUUUACAUGAGUCUAAUGCAGGUUAAUAGGAGUAGAAGGGUCUCUAAAAUUUUGAUGUAAGGAAUUCAUGGGUCAUGCCGUAUUGAUAUAUUAGUGCCACAAUGUAAUCUAUCAAGGAGAUGAACUUUAGCAAUACUAUUCCAAAUCAUUGAUCCUCAUUAGUCUAUGUAGAUGGAUGGGGCAGACUAUUGUGAAGGGAAAUAGAUUAGCCCAUAGUCUAUUUAGUUGUGUAAGAACAUACUACGCCGAUCUUUAUAUGUUUUGGCCACGUCCGUUUCCGCUCCGACGAGGAAGGUUUGGAUCUUUCAAUCUUAUGUCGUGAGGGAUGUGAGCUAUGUUAGGCCCAUAAGAUACCACAACUUUUGGUGUUUUAUGAUUCACCUCCGAAUAAUGAGUAGGUAGUUCGAUCCUUUUGAUUCUUUGCUUCCUAGUAAACUGAUGGGGGGAUUUGGUGCAACAGGUCGAAUUACUAUAUAAAGAAGAGUUGUUAACUAUAGGACAUCUAGUUCGAGUAGGAAGAUUUUGGUUUUUCUCGUUCCUUCUCUUCACCAAUUUAGGAAGUAGAGCUUUAUUAUGGAGAACAAACAGUUUAAGGAUUUUGAUUUACACAAAUUAUGCCAUGGCAGGGCUCCAGUUAUGCUUUUCUUCUCCACCCCAUUUCAAGAAUUUGAAUUUAUUGUAUCUGAUUUAGAACAUAUUUUGAUUCAAUUAGCAAAACAUGGCAUCCAAUAAAUUGGUAUAGAACUUAGAUUUGAUUUUAUUAGAACAAACCUACCUACUAGGGAAAGCAAGGGUAUUUUCCAACUCCCAGUUUCCUCUCUACUUUACUUAUAAGAUUUUGCCAUACCUGAGAUUUAUUUCUAGUGAAAAAUACAGGUGUUCCAUGAUAAGUAACGUUUUCCCCAAUAGUGUUAAUUCCUAAACUACAGGACACCAUGUUCCUGGUUCUCUCUCCAACAUGCCUACUGUAGAUCACUCCAUUUUUUCUUAAAAUUAAUUUGCUGGCCAGACCGAUCUUGAACGAGAUUUAGUACAACAUGUAUAGUAGAUAUAUCGUUUUGGUUAGCUCUACAAAAAAUAAAAGGUAUCAUCGAUAAAGAGCAGGGGAGUAAGUUUAGGACUGUUCAUACCUAUCUACCCUUAUGCUCUUGAAUUAAACAUAUCCAUAUCUGUUCACUUAUAAAUAUUGUCUACAAACGAAUGAAUGUAUAAUGGAAAAAACUAUUAAAGGAGAGUAAACCUCACAAGCUUUCUAAUGUGAGAGAUACAAAGAAUACCAUCCUUAAGAAGAGGGAAGAUAAAUGAGAGAGAGAGAAUAAUAAAUCCCAAAAAGAAUGUUUACAAGACUACAACAUGUGGUAUUUAUAGUUUUUGAUGGGCACAAAACAUGUAUCUUUGUAUUGAAAAGAUACAUCUUUAUGGCUUGAAUAGGCAUGAUUAUGCCUUGAAGAGACAACUAUGUCGUGAAAAAGCAUAUUUAGAUAGAGAUGCAUAUUAAAAAGAAAAAAAAAAUUUAUGAAACAAAUGACCUUUUUUUUUUUAAUGAAUCACUAUAUAUUUGCUUAUCUAAGAGAUUCACAUUUUAUGAAUCAAUCCUAGAAGAUAUUAUUUUAUUAUUAAAAAUACUACACAUUUACAUUUAGUUGUAAAUACUAUAUAUUUACUUAUAGUUGUAUGAUGGGUAAAAAUAUUCAUACACAUGCGUAUCAUGUAAGUACAUUUUAUUGAAAAUAUGUUCCCAUAUAAAAAUAUAUUCUCAUAUUACUAAACAUCAUUUGAUUAGACUAUUCUUUCAUUUCAAUCUCGCAAGAAUGAACAAUGUAAGAAACACAAAGGUAGGUAGGCAAUUAAUAAAUGUAUUCCACCUUAAAUACAUUCCAUAAGCAAAUUACCCUCGAACCUUGUAGUAAGAAAUCAUUAAGUGCUUACUUUAACAUGAUUAAGAGGAUUAAACCAUGAUCUCUCUCUCUCUCUUUUGGUGCAAAGGCUCCAACAAAGUGGGAGAAUUUAUUUAGUCCUUAUCGGGGAUCGGGGAAAGCAACCUUGAUCUUAAUCACAAAGAAAUCAAAUAAAUAAUGUUUACACUCAUCUAACAAACGAAUUGAUAAAAUAUGCAACAAAUUAGAGGCCAUGUGCUAAUCCUAGUUUAAUAGUAGCUUUAGAGCCUUAAAGAAAAAGUCACGAGAAGUGACCUUGACCCCUACUCAUGCAAAAGCAAAUCCAUUAAAAGUGAUUCUCUUUUACACUCCAAAAUAUCUAUGGAUUUGUUAAAGGAAGAAUUAUUAACCUCCUAUAUAUAUAUGUAAAGUGUGCUAACCUAUAAGAACGAAAUAUUGUAGGAAUAAUUCCAACAAUAAGAUUUUUUUUUUUUGUUGACGAUACCUUUAUUAUUUUUGUAAAACUAACAAGAUUGAUAUUUCAACUUUGCAUGCUAUACUUAAUCUCUUCCAAGACUUAUCCAGGGCCUCCAGGCUGCAGAUUAAUUUCAAGUAGGGUGGUGUAAUAUUCAAUAGUCGUGUUGGGGUGGGCAUAAGGAAUAUGGUUAAAUGUAGAUUGGGGGUCAGUCUUAUUCUUGAGGGUGAUACCUACUUUGGUACCUUUUUUUUUUCCGUAGGAAUAUGAUAGCUUAUUAUUCAUAGGGUGGAUGGGAAAUUAGGUAAAUGGAAGAUUCUUCAACUUUCUCAAGUUGGUAGGUCGAUUUAAUAAAGUUUGUUCUUAGAUCUAUCCCAACAUAUUGGAUGUCAUGUUAUCCUUCUUCCUUCCAGAACGUUUGCUAAAUUGGAUUCUAUUAGUUAUGGGUUUUGGAAAGGGUUGAACACCAACAUCAAAAGUGUAGUCCGGUAGCUUGGACCUCUCUAUGUCGGCCUAUGUCUUUUGGGGGGUUAGGUUUUUGUCUUAUGGCUUUACAUAAUAAGGUUUGUUGUUGAAGUUGGCUUGACAUCUCCUUACCAAUACUAAUCAGUUAUGGGCUAGAUUACUUAGAGGUAAAUAUUUCAUCAAUUAUAGUUUAUUGCAUUCUUCUACUUUGUUGAAAAAGGGGUCAUGAUAUUGGAAUAGUAUUUCUAAAUGCUUCCUUCUCUUAAGCAAUUGCCUUGUUGGAGAGUAGGGCAUGGUUCAAAUAUUUCUAUUGGGAUGACCCUUGGGUUCCCUACAUAGAUGAUUUCCGAAUUACUACUGCAGGAUUUAUUAACCCUCUUUAUGCUCAAGUUAGUGAGCUUAUCCAGGGUCGGAGUUGGAGUGUAAGCUUUGUUUGUUCCUUGUUUUCACCUCCUGUUGCUAAUGCUGUUUUAUUUAUUGCUUUAAGUGUUCAACUUUCACAUGAUUUUUGGAUCUUUUAUAAGGACUGGUGCUUUCUCAACUAAGUUAGCUAGUAAAUGGUUGAUUAUGGUUCAGAGGGAUGUGGUUGCUAAUAUUAGUACUAGUAAAUUAUGAGAUUUUGCUUUUCAGUUAUGUGCUAGAUUACUUAAAGGUAAGUAUUUCUUCAAAGUUCAAUCAUAGUUUGUUGAAAAAGGGGUCAUUUAUUUUGAAUAAUAAAAUGCUUCCUUAGCUUAAGCAGUUGCCGUGUUGGAGAGUAGGGGAUGGUUCAAAUAUUUCUAUCUGGAAUGACCCUUGGGCUUUCUACAUAGAUAAUUUCCGAAUUACUACUGCUGGAUUUGUUAAUCCUCUUUGAGUUAGUGAGUUUAUCCAGGGUUGGGGUUGGAAUGUAAGUCUUGUUUGUUUCUUGUUUCCACCUCUUGUAGCUAAUGCCGUUUUGUUUAUUCCUUUACAAGUGUUCAACUUUCACAUGAUUUUUGGAUUUGUCUUUUUAGUAGGACUGGCGCUUUCUCGACUAACAUAGCUACUAAAAUGGUUGAUAUGGUUCAGAGGAUGGGGUUGCAACUAGUAAAUUAUGAAAUUUGGAUAGAUUGCCAAGAAAUGGUGUCAUGGUUAGCCAAGGGUCUCGAGCAGGGUGGCCUUGGGAAAUGUCUUCAUUACUUCAUGAAGUUUUUGUGUUAAUGAGGAUGUUUGAAAUGUUUGUAUUUUGAAGGAGGAUAGCCGAACUGUCUUGGUAGCUCAUAGCGUAGCUACUAAAAACGCACUGGAAACUUGGCUCCAAUUCUUUUAUAGAUUUUCAGUAGUGGACAAAUCUAAGAACGCACUGGAAAUUCUUCUGUAUUUUCGAUAUGACAGUUUCGGAAGCUUGGCCGUCUAACCGGCCAUCUGAUGUCGAUGCUCAGGACGAUAGUUUCAGAGUUGGUGAAGCAUGACUGUAUUGAAACUGUGGUCGCAAAGGUGAAGGAAAUACGGGGACUGGCUGAUAGCAUGGUGCAGCUCGGGAAAGAGGUAAGAGACAGUUGUCUCAGCGUCUAGGCAACCUCAGGUGUUGGAGGGGGUCUAAACGCAAGGCGACACCUACAAGGCAUCCACCUAGACAACUAUGGCAUGCUGCUGCUUUUUUGCGAGGUGAUGAUGCCUUUCACUAGCUAAAUAAGCUAUUUACUGAGCUGGCUUAUUGCUACAAGUGAUUUUUCUUUUUCCACCCUGAUUUUCCUUUUUUCUUUCUUUCCCUGCUAGUGUUUCAUCAAAGCAAGUCUAAGUGCAUGUUUCUGUGUUGGCAGAGAUAGAGCUGGUGGAUAUACCAGAUUACUUCGAACUCGCAUAUGAGUUAGUGAUGCUGCACCUAUGGCCUAUAUUGAGUUCGUUGACACAGUGAAUGAACUUUCUCGGCAGUCAAGACCAGGAUUCCCUCACCCGCUGGCAAGAGUGCCCUUGGAUCCUUGGAUAAGGACUCGCCUUAAGCCAGCAGUUUGCACCUCCUAAAGUGGAUGAUAACACUUCCCGACCUGAAUCUUGAAGUAGAUCUUCCCAUUUGGAUCCUACAAGUGUUGGGUGUUUAAUCUGUGAGCCUACACUGCCUGUCCUAAGCUCGCAUGAAGGAGGGUUGGUGCGUCAAGUCAACAUAUUCCAUUUUUAUUGGCAGGGGGUGGUGGAAAGGAGAUUUAUUAAGGCUUUGUGGUGUUGGGUGAAGUGCUUGGAUAAUCAUUACACUAUCAUGACUUAACCACUCUUGCCUUUUUGACCUGAUAACAAUUAGAACUGCCCUGAACUGUUAUCCUUGAUUGCCUUGUGGGAUGAUCUUUAGAAUUUCAAUUCAUGGCCCAUUGACUUUGACACCUAGGCAGAUAGGUCCAAGUUUAUAAUCAAAGUUAAGCUUGUGCUUUAUAUUGCGCACGUGUGUAAGAGAAAGAGGGAAUCCCACGAGCUAAAUUUUGUUGGGUGGGAGAGCUACAUUGUUGGAGUACAAUUUCCCACCAAUAAAAGGGUGGGUGUUCAAAUCGUUUAGAAUCAUGCUUUGAUUGCUUUCCUUUCUGCGAAGGCAAAA